rnacentral:rRNA from 1 species
UCGCCCUUAGAGUUUGAUCCUGGCUCAGAUUGAACGCUGGCGGCAUGCUUUACACAUGCAAGUCGAACGGCAGCACGGACUUCGGUCUGGUGGCGAGUGGCGAACGGGUGAGUAAUACAUCGGAACGUGCCCAGUUGUGGGGGAUAACUACUCGAAAGAGUAGCUAAUACCGCAUGAGAACUGAGGUUGAAAGCAGGGGAUCGUAAGACCUUGCGCAACUGGAGCGGCCGAUGGCAGAUUAGGUAGUUGGUGGGAUAAAAGCUUACCAAGCCGACGAUCUGUAGCUGGUCUGAGAGGACGACCAGCCACACUGGGACUGAGACACGGCCCAGACUCCUACGGGAGGCAGCAGUGGGGAAUUUUGGACAAUGGGCGAAAGCCUGAUCCAGCAAUGCCGCGUGCAGGAUGAAGGCCUUCGGGUUGUAAACUGCUUUUGUACGGAACGAAAAGCUUCGGGUUAAUACCCUGAAGUCAUGACGGUACCGUAAGAAUAAGCACCGGCUAACUACGUGCCAGCAGCCGCGGUAAUACGUAGGGUGCAAGCGUUAAUCGGAAUUACUGGGCGUAAAGCGUGCGCAGG